rnacentral:rRNA from 1 species
GGACCCGCACAAGUAGUGGAGCAUGUGGUUUAAUUCGAAGAUACGCGCAGAACCUUACCAACACUUGACAUGUUCGUCGCGACUCUAAGAGAUUAGAGUUUUCGGUUCGGCCGGACGAAACACAGGUGCUGCAUGGCUGUCGUCAGCUCGUGUCGUGAGAUGUUGGGUUAAGUCCCGCAACGAGCGCAACCCUCACUUUUAGUUGCCAUCAUUAAGUUGGGCACUCUGAAAGAACUGCCAGUGAUAAGCUGGAGGAAGGUGGGGAUGACGUCAAGUCCUCAUGGCCCCUUACGUGUUGGGUUACACACGUGCUACAAUGCUACGGACAAAGGGCAGCAAACUCGCGAGAGCUAG